rnacentral:rRNA from 1 species
GUGUUCGGGUUGUCAUGCCAAUGGCACUGCCCGGUAGCUAAAUGCGGAAGAGAUAAGUGCUGAAAGCAUCUAAGCACGAAACUUGCCCCGAGAUGAGUUCUCCCUGAGACUUUAAGUCUCCUGAAGGAACGUURAAGACGAYGACGUUGAUAGGUCGGGUGUGUAAGCGCAGCGAUGCGUUGAGCUAACCGAUACUAAUGAACCGUGAGGCUUAACCUU